GAUGAACGCUGGCGGCGUGCCUAAUACAUGCAAGUCGAGCGAUCAGACGAGGAGCUUGCUCCUCUGACGUUAGCGGCGGACGGGUGAGUAACACGUGGAUAACCUACCUAUAAGACUGGGAUAACUUCGGGAAACCGGAGCUAAUACCGGAUAAUAUAUUGAACCGCAUGGUUCAAUAGUGAAAGACGGUUUUGCUGUCACUUAUAGAUGGAUCCGCGCCGCAUUAGCUAGUUGGUAAGGUAACGGCUUACCAAGGCAACGAUGCGUAGCCGACCUGAGAGGGUGAUCGGCCACACUGGAACUGAGACACGGUCCAGACUCCUACGGGAGGCAGCAGUAGGGAAUCUUCCGCAAAGGGCGAAAGCCUGACGGAGCAACGCCGCGUGAGUGAUGAAGGUCUUCGGAUCGUAAAACUCUGUUAUUAGGGAAGAACAAAUGUGUAAGUAACUAUGCACGUCUUGACGGUACCUAAUCAGAAAGCCACGGCUAACUACGUG
rnacentral:rRNA from 1 species